AAACCAAAGGAAAGAAAAAAAGAACAAGAAAAAGGAGAAAAGGAAAAUCAAACAGCAACCUCUUGUCUAAUCUUUCUUUCUUUCUUUCUU
rnacentral:ribozyme from 1 species